ensembl:lncRNA
ACUCAGAGGAGCUAAAGUCGUACCUUCACAUCGGCAUGUUUAAGAGAUCACGUUGUCCGAGAUGCAUCACAUAUUGACGAGAUGGAGAUGGACACAGCAGAUCUUUUUUUGCUUUAUGAUCACAGGGCGAGGUGCGUUUCCAGAGCCCUGGUUCCUGUACGUGUCUCUCCUCCUGGUGCCCAUCGUCAUCCUGCUGAGCCUCGUAGCUGCCCUGCUGGUGUGCAGAUGUUUGCCAACAUCUGGCUGAAACGGAAAGACUCCGCCUGAGGCAUCUUCAUAGACGGGGAGAAUCGGGUCUGGUUAAAAAAGGGGAGCACUUAGAAUGUAAAUACUGUUUACUGAAUGUAUAACUUAUCCUGCUCCGUCAAGUAUUGACAUGGCGGCAUCUUAAUUCAGGGGCACAACCUGCCAAAGUGCAGUUGUCUCGAACCUGUACAGUUGGGUAAUAUCGUGCGAAAAAUGCAUUAAAGGAAGCAAUAUAAUGAUUUAUUUUAAAGUGGGUGUUUCCGGAUUAAAGAAAGCCACAAAACACUGUUUACGUAUUUAGGGAAAAUAACACGCAUUUUCCUAAUUACACGUCCACCAUGUACACUGUCUAUACUGCAGGCAGAGUAUCAACGGGCACAUUGCAUUUAUUCUGGACAGACCUGGUCGCACAUUUGUCAGAGGAAGGACAAGGAUGCAAUCAGCACAAUAAUCCUCACUGCUGGCAUGGUGACAUGGGCACACACACACACACACACACACACACACACACACACACACACACACAUACACGCACACACGCACUGACUGGACUGAUUCCCCUCACUGAGUCAGAGAGCGAGUCAGUGCACCUGUAGUUAUGUCACACGUGCACGUGCUCUUUUAUGUGUGUGAUAAUGACUAAGACAGAAAGCAGUGAAAAGAGGGUUGAAAACCUGUUGUUUGUCAGUUGAAGUGUCAGAUGGAAAAAACAGGGUGAGUAAGACCUGGACAAUAAAAUCUUGAUGGAGGGAGGAUUUAUUGCAGGUGUUUCUUUCCGCUGCCCUGCUUCUCAUCUCAUAAACAAUGUUGUUGUUUAUAUUUUAAAUCGUUGAUAUUGUUAAUGUAAAAAUCUUUUCCACAUGGACCUUUGGUACAACCUUGAAUAACAUAUUCAACUCUAACCUUUCUUUUUUGAUUCAAUGUGUUUAACGUGAAACUCUUCACAUCAGAUGAUUCUCAAGUCCACCUGUUUUUCUCUUUGCCAACACGUGGUGG